AUGAACGCUAGCUACAGGCUUAACACAUGCAAGUCGAGGGGCAGCAUGAAGUCAGCUUGCUGACUUUGAUGGCGACCGGCGCACGGGUGCGUAACACGUAUCCAAUCUACCCAUCUGCGUCGGGGAUAGCCUUUCGAAAGAAAGAUUAAUACCCGAUGGUUUCACUUUCUCGCAUGAGAAGAUGAAUAAAGAUUUAUCGGCGAUGGAUGAGGAUGCGUCCGAUUAGCUUGUUGGCGGGGUAACGGCCCACCAAGGCGACGAUCGGUAGGGGCUCUGAGAGGAGGAUCCCCCACAUUGGAACUGAGACACGGUCCAAACUCCUACGGGAGGCAGCAGUGAGGAAUAUUGGUCAAUGGGCGCGAGCCUGAACCAGCCAAGUAGCGUGAAGGGAUGACUGCCCUAUGGGUUGUAAACCUCUUUGUUUAGGAAUAAAGUGAGCCACGUGUGGCUUUUGUAUGUACCUUACGAAUAAGCAUCGGCUAAUUCCGUGCCAGCAGCUGC
rnacentral:rRNA from 1 species